CUAUCUGCUCUAUUGUUAUCUAUUCUCUUUGGCAAUUGCUGUUUCUUUUACAUGGUUCACAUAAUGUAUAUAAUCCUCCCCCUUUUGUGUGGUCCUCCUAAUCGUUCUAAAAUUGUAUAUAUGUAUAUAUAGUCACCUUCUUUUCUCCAGAGGACACAUUGUCACCACGUACAAGUAUUUGUUGGACCGGCCAGCCAUGCAGGAUCACAUGGCAUUUAGGAGGGGCAGAUUGUUAAGUGUUGCGCUAAGUGUAUUUGACAAGCUGAGUUCGACACUCAGUGUAACAGAGUGUCAGUUUGUCAAAUACCCCAAGUGAAGCACUGUCUCCCAGCUGGACUACUUCAACAAAAUGGAAGAUACCCGCAGUCCUUAUUUUGCUUAUCUGGCUGUAUGUAGCAGCUACUACAGUCAAUUUCCUGCAUUUUGUUUUAGGUGAUAUGUUGCAAUGCUUGUGUAAUAUUUGCUAAGAAAACCUUGGUCACAUUUUACUGUGAUCAUUCUACAGUAUGUAUCACAACCAUAUAAGGUAGUAUAAGAGUAGUCUAUCUUAAAUUGCAAAGGUCCAAGGAGACAGAAGGAUAGAUAGAUAGAUAGAUACCCAUUGUACAGCGCUACGGAAUUUGCUGGCGCUAUAUAAAUAAUAAAAUAAGAAUAAGAAUAGAUAGAUAGACAGACAGAUAUAUUAGAUAUAAUGCUAGAUUAGAUGGAUUGAUAGAAUAGAUAGAUAGAUAGAUAGACAGACAGACUGAUUGGUCGAUGGAAGAAUACAGAAAUACCUAAAUGAAUACGAGUAGAAAUAUACGUGUAUGUUUUAUUAAAGCUGAUUCAACUAUUUAAAGCCUAUUAUAAAUACACCAAAACUAGUUUAAUAUUUUUAUUAGUAUAUUGUUUUCCCUUAAAAACAUUGUAAUAUUAUGUAUUUAUUGAAGUGCUGAAAU